AACUAACGCUGGCGGCGUGCCUAACACAUGCAAGUCGUACGAGAAAGUUGGCUUCGGCCGAUGAGUACAGUGGCGCACGGGUGAGUAACGCGUGGAUAAUCUGCCCCUUAAGUGUGGGAAUAACGUACCGAAAGGUGCGCUAAUACCGCAUAAUGCCUGGCAACAUAAGUUGUCCGGCCAAAGAAGGCCUCUGCUUGCAAGCUUUCGCUAAAGGAUGAGUCCGCGUACCAUUAGCUAGUUGGUGGGGUAACGGCCUACCAAGGCGACGAUGGUUAGCUGGUCUGAGAGGAUGAUCAGCCACACUGGAACUGAGACACGGUCCAGACUCCUACGGGAGGCAGCAGUGAGGAAUAUUGCGCAAUGGGGGCAACCCUGACGCAGCAACGCCGCGUUGAGUGAGGAAGGCCUUCGGUUGUAAAGCGUCUUUCGGUCCGGGAGGAAAUACGCAUGGGUUAAGUAACCCUGUGCGGAUGACGGUACCGGACGAUAAGAAGCACCGGCUAACUACCG
rnacentral:rRNA from 1 species